rnacentral:rRNA from 1 species
GAGUUUGAUCCUGGCUCAGAAUCAACGCUGGCGGCGUGCCUAACACAUGCAAGUCGCACGAGAAAGGGACUUCGGUCUUGAGUAAAGUGGCGCACGGGUGAGUAACACGUGACUAAUCUACCCUCGAGUGGGGAAUAACUGAGAGAAAUCUUAGCUAAUACCGCAUAACACUUACGAGUCAAAGCAGCAAUGCGCUUGGGGAGGAGGUCGCGGCCGAUUAGCUAGUUGGCGGGGUAAUGGCCCACCAAGGCGAUGAUCGGUAUCCGGCCUGAGAGGGCGCACGGACACACUGGAACUGAAACACGGUCCAGACUCCUACGGGAGGCAGCAGUGGGGAAUUUUGCGCAAUGGGGGAAACCCUGACGCAGCAACGCCGCGUGGAGGAUGAAGUAUCUUGGUACGUAAACUCCUUUCGAUGGGGAAGAUAAUGACGGUACCCAUAGAAGAAGCCCCGGCUAACUUCGUGCCAGCCGCCGCUGUAAU